CGCAAACWUMGCRGAGAUGCUUUGGUGCCUUCGGGAACUCUGAGACAGGUGCUGCAUGGCUGUCGUCAGCUCGUGUUGUGAAAUGUUGGGUUAAGUCCCGCAACGAGCGCAACCCYURUCCUUUGUUGCCAGCGMGUAAUGKCGGGAACUCAAAGGAGACUGCCGGUGAUAAACCGGAGGAAGGUGGGGAUGACGUCAAGUCAUCAUGGCCCUUACGAGUAGGGCUACACACGUGCUACAAUGGCGYAUACAAAGGGAAGCGACCCUGCGAAGGCRAGCGRAACUCAUAAAGUACGUCGUAGUCCGGAUUGGAGUCUGCAACUCGACUCCAUGAAGUCGGAAUCGCUAGUAAUCGUARAUCAGAAUGCURCGGUGAAUACGUUCCCGGGCCUUGUACACACCA
rnacentral:rRNA from 1 species